rnacentral:rRNA from 1 species
AUGUUGAACAACAUAAAAAUUGUGUUCUGGAAUGUUCGUGGCCUGAAUCGCGCUAGGUGCACAGCCGUCCGCAGUAUGGUUUCCUCUGUUGCGCCGUCCAUCAUCUGUCUCCAAGAAACCAAACUCUCCGUGGUCUCGCCUGAUGUCGUUGCCCAGAUCCUGGGGCCCGAAUUCGCCGACUACUACUGGCUACCUGCGGAUGGUAUGUGAGGUGGCAUCAUCCUCGCUUGGCGAGCGGAUCACGUCUCCCUCUCUAACCGUACCGUCGGCUCAUACCACGUCUUCGCCACCGUGAUGCUCGCCUCGGGCGGCCCCCCGUGGUGGAUCACGGGCGUCUAUGGGCCACAGGCAGAUGUGGAUAAGCUCGAGUUUCUCGCCGAGCUCCACGAUCUUUGCUCCACGAUGGCUGGCCCUUGGAUCAUUGGUGGAGAUUUUAACAUGAUCGCAUGCACUGAGGACAAGAACAAUGACAGAAUCAACCACCGCAUGAUGAGCCGGUUUCGUCGGCUCAUCUCUGACUUGGCUCUCUGA